CGUAACUAUAACGGUCCUAAGGUAGCGAAAUUCCUUGUCGGGUAAGUUCCGACCUGCACGAAUGGCGUAAUGAUGGCCAGGCUGUCUCCACCCGAGACUCAGUGAAAUUGAACUCGCUGUGAAGAUGCAGUGUACCCGCGGCAAGACGGAAAGACCCCGUGAACCUUUACUAUAGCUUGACACUGAACAUUGAGCCUUGAUGUGUAGGAUAGGUGGGAGGCUUUGAAGUGUGGACGCCAGUCUGCAUGGAGCCGGCCUUGAAAUACCACCCUUUAAUGUUUGAUGUUCUAACGUGGACCCGUGAUCCGGGUUGCGGACAGUGUCUGGUGGGUAGUUUGACUGGGGCGGUCUCCUCCUAAAGAGUAACGGAGGAGCACGAAGGUUGGCUAAUCCUGGUCGGACAUCAGGAGGUUAGUGCAAUGGCAUAAGCCAGCUUGACUGCGAGCGUGACGGCGCGAGCAGGUGCGAAAGCAGGUCAUAGUGAUCCGGUGGUUCUGAAUGGAAGGGCCAUCGCUCAACGGAUAAAAGGUACUCCGGGGAUAACAGGCUGAUACCGCCCAAGAGUUCAUAUCGACGGCGGUGUUUGGCACCUCGAUGUCGGCUCAUCACAUCCUGGGGCUGAAGUAGGUCCCAAGGGUAUGGCUGUUCGCCAUUUAAAGUGGUACGCGAGCUGGGUUUAGAACGUCGUGAGACAGUUCGGUCCCUAUCUGCCGUGGGCGCUGGAGAACUGAGGGGGGCUGCUCCUAGUACGAGAGGACCGGAGUGGACGCAUCACUGGUGUUCGGGUUGUCAUGCCAAUGGCACUGCCCGGUAGCUAAAUGCGGAAGAGAUAAGUGCUGAAAGCAUCUAAGCACGAAACUUGCCCCGAGAUGAGUUCUCCCUGACCCUUUAAGGGUCCUGAAGGAACGUUGAAGACGACGACGUUGAUAGGCCGGGUGUGUAAGCGCAGCGAUGCGUUGAGCUAACCGGUACUAAUGAACCGUGAGGCUUAACCUU
rnacentral:rRNA from 1 species